UACGUAGGGUGCAGGCGUUUAAUCGGAAUUACUGGGCGUAAAGCGUGCGUAGGCGGUUUGUUAAGACAGGUGUGAAAUCCCCGGGCUCAACCUGGGGAACUGCAUUUGUGACUGCAUCGCUGGAGUGCGGCAGAGGGGGAUGGAAUUCCGCGUGUAGCAGUGAAAUGCGUAGAUAUGCGGAGGAACACCGAUGGCGAAGGCAAUCCCCUGGGCCUGCACUGACGCUCAUGCACGAAAGCGUGGGGAGCAAACAGG
rnacentral:rRNA from 1 species